UUGUGGAUUUUCUUUGCAUCCUCAGAUCCCUCAGCGCCGUGCUUCUGUGAGCCAACUCAUCGGGUCCCUCACAGGCCACCGGAACACCGAUGGACCCCAGAUUGCAAAAUACCACUCGAGAUCUAUCUUCUCUGCUGGAUAUUUAUACUUUCUUCGACGUCUGUGUGAUUCGCAUCCGUACCAUCUUUGAUGGUAGAGCCAGGACUGCGAGUCCACUUCCCUGUCUCAGAUUGGGCGCCAUUAUUGUUACGAACCUUUGUUUUCUUUGGGGCAAGGCCGGCUAGCCAGUCAUCCCAGGGCUGGGUACUUCCCAAGCCCUCAGGUCGCACAAUAUACCAACUAAUUGGACAUCUCGAACAAAUUGAAACAACAAAAGUAACCGACAAAAAAAAACUGCAAACGGACUCUACUCGACAAACAACAUUACAGUAACUUCC